rnacentral:rRNA from 1 species
GACGAACGCUGGCGGCGUGCUUAACACAUGCAAGUCGUACGGUAAGGCCCUUUCGGGGGUCCACGAGUGGCGAACGGGUGAGUAACACGUGAGUAACCUGCCCACAACUUUGGGAUAACGCUAGGAAACUGGUGCUAAUACUGGAUAUGUGCUCCUGCUGCAUGGUGGGGGUUGGAAAGCUCCGGCGGUUGUGGAUGGACUCGCGGCCUAUCAGCUUGUUGGUGGGGUAGUGGCCUACCAAGGCGGCGACGGGUAGCCGGCCUGAGAGGGUGACCGGCCACAUUGGGACUGAGAUACGGCCCAGACUCCUACGGGAGGCAGCAGUGGGGAAUAUUGCACAAUGGGCGCAAGCCUGAUGCAGCAACGCCGCGUGCGGGAUGACGGACUUCGGGUUGUAAACCGCUUUCAGCAGGGACGAAGCUUUUUGUGACGGUACCUGCAGAAGAAGCACCGGCUAACUACGUG